rnacentral:lncRNA from 1 species
CAGCAUAUUUUAAGACCUAACAGUAGAAAUUGAAAACUAAGAAUAAGACAAACAUUGACCAAAACCUUAACCGUAAUGUAACAUUACCCAUAAUAUAAAAACAAAAAUUGUUCUAGAAUCAUCAAAAUGAAAAGAAGUCGAGUUAAAUGAGACCAACCUCAAAAGGCAAAAUGGGCUGAUGAAGGAAUCCCCUGUCAAAUGCAGAGGACCGUUAUUGACUUGUUCAACAAGAAUGGUGGAGGCCGUGGCCACAAUCAAACAACUGGGUAUCGGUGCCAUGUUAAGAUUGGUAAUAAUCACUGACACCCAUUAAGACCUGAUUAGCAAAAUAAGAAGAAUCAAAAGAUAUAAUUAGAAGAGCAUUUUGCAUUAGACAAGUGUGUGACGGAAAAAUAAAACUCGUAAAGGGAGAUGGGAAUCUUUGUUAAGAAGAGAGACGUACGAGGAAAACGGCUUUUCAUUUUUCAUUUUGCAUCUUGUAUUUUCAUUCUUCAUUCUUUUCUCCAAGAACAUGAAAGAAAACUGUUCGGGUCCUUCUCUUUGAAUCAACUAGGAACUAAGAACCUACAAGCAGAUUUAGAUUAGAAGAUAGUAAUGAACAAUGCAUGGUCAUCUCUUUUAAUAUCAUGAAAAUUACUUGAAGCUAAGGUCAAACCUGUUGUGUAUAAAGUUGAGCCAAAGGCUUCACCUU